rnacentral:lncRNA from 1 species
UUUUCUUACAGAAGUCUGCUCACACACCAGUUGACCAGGGUCUUAAAAGAAUCCUUAUCUACUUCGACCAGAGAAAUUCCAACCCAAGGGAACUUGGAAUUUAUGGAUUUUGAAGGCAACAAGACCUAAGGUUGUCUGAAGUAUGACAAAUUGGAACUGUGCAUAUUUAAGACAUUUAAGGUGUACAUCCUGACGUUUGGGGUCUGGCUUAUCAACAUAAUGUGCCCAGCAUCACCCACAUGGAGGCUUUAGUUAUAAUCCUCGUGCACUGGUUUGGACCCUGGAAUUCGUUUGAAGAGAUGUAGAUCAUCAGCUGAGUGCCAUGUGCCAACCGUGAGACCCAGACUGAUGUUGGACAUGUUUGUAGUUUUGGGGAAGUUCAGGCCCUCACUACAUUUUUCUUCGUGCCAUCCUGAAACCAUCUGUCUGUUUUUCGUUUCAUGGCGUCUUCUACCUUCAGUGGCCAGCUCUUGCCAGGAAUGGAUUUUUCUGAAGUAUCAAGAGGUCACAAAUAACAAGGAAUAAACUAUGCCUCCGGGAAAGAUGUGCAUUGCACGGAUACACUUUGUGAAGGUAAACACACAGAGGCAUUCUGCUUUCUGUUAAUUAAUGAUAGCGGUGCCAAGCUUUUAUAGGAAACCAAUUUUCCUUUUGAACACCAGGGAGAUCUUUGAGCCUAAGAAAUGUUUCAAUUUAGGAAAACCAUAGCUCAGCCAAAAGUGCAGACGUAGCAGGUGAAUUACGGUUGGACUAGAAACUAGGAUGCACGAAUGCUCGGUAAGUACAAAUGGGCCCCAGAAGUCUGUUCUUGAAACUACAGACAACUCUGGAAGUUGGAAUUUGCUUCAGCAUUUUCCCUGGAGUAGGAGUUGAGAUGCAUGGACUGCGGCUGUGGGGGGCUGAGAGAGGCUGGAGCAGCCCACAAGGUAGACCCUUGCCAUGGGCAUGCAAGGUUCUUGCUUGGCUGGUGAGGGAUCAGUGUUCUCUGUCUCCAAUGAAGACGCACCUGAUCUUUUGGCAGAGUGGAAGUCUGGCAUCCUUGUCUUAUUCAUUAGGAGGUUAUUUAUGAGACUCACUAACUGUGGCAUGACCUCUUUGGUGUAUUUAAAGCAAUCCUGGGCUGAUGCUAUCGGAGGGUGUUUUGCACAUGCAGAUGCUGCUUGUCGGCAGGAGUGUUUGACUAGACAAGGUGACAUCUGGAAAGGGCCAGAGAGAACACAUCAUGUCAUCCCUGUCAUCCUUGUCAAGGCUGUCUCUUGCGCGCGCCGGACUGGCCAGCAGUAACGACGCUGCAACAGGAUCCUUCUGCACACGUU